ensembl:lncRNA
GCUGUUUCUCCUGCCAAGUGUUUCCUGUAUGACUGGUUUCCAGUCAAGGCUGGACACAGUGGGCAGGAGGCCAGUUUAAGGAGGACUGCUGAAGCCCUGCUGUCAGGCUCAGAAGAGCCCAAGGAACAAGGGACACAGGUGACCUGGAGGACACAGGGUGGCUGCCAGACUGGAAAGGGGACAAGGUUGCACUUAUGGACCACAGAGGCACUGCCAUGCUCUCCCUUCAGUGCCACACUGUCCAUCAGUCCAUCAGUAUUGCCACUUCUCUGAAAUCACAGUUGCGCAUUUCAUCUUCAGGUACCACCAGAAGUCCUCGCCCAAGGCUAGAGGCUCUUCCUGGGCCUGGAAGGGCUACCACCAUUCUUCAUUGGCUGAUGCUCCCAUGUGGCUCAGGGCUCCAGUUGCCUGCUCCAGGGAGCCUUCAAUGACUAUCCUUUAAUGCUCCCACCCACUCCUCAUGUGCAAAGGGUUUAAGCUUAUGAAACACCAAAGCCAAGAAUAAAGUUCUUUGACUGGAAUUUCUCCUUUCCUGUAACACCACCUACAAGAAACUUUUAAUUUGUGUGGGUUAAAGAAGCAUCUUUGAUGAAGUGGAAAAGAGACAGUAUAAUAAAGUUACAAAACACAGUGCAACUGCCACAGCUCAGAGAAAAACACCAGAUUGGGAAUCAGGAGACUGGCCCUGGGAGUAUGGAGGAUCGAACUUGGGACCUUGCGCUUGUGAGGCAGGCACCGGAACCACUGAGCCAAAUCCCUGACCCUUGUUCCUGAUUUUAGAAGGAAAGCUUUCAGUUUUUCCUCCUUUAAUAUGAUGCUGGCAGUAGUUUUCCAUAAAUGAUUUUUAUCAGAUUGAGAGGCCUUUGGAACUCGCUAGCAGGAGGAAUUUGGAAAGAUUUGGAGAUGCUGGCUGGAGAAGCAUCCCUGAAUACUGUAAGCUGAAUUUGGUGGGACAUUCUGGUUAGUGCUCAGAAGACCAGCAUGCUGACAGAAAUACAGCUGGUAAAGACCAGGAUCAGGAGGUUUCAGUUGGGAACAAGGAGUGCAUUGGCAGUUGGACUCUAGGCCAUGUGUGUUAUGCUUUGGCAGAAAAUGUGCCUACAUUUUGCUCGUGUCGUGAGACUUUGCCAGAGACUGAGAUUAAGCAUGGCUGACUAAUUAAUCUGGUGGAGGAAAUGUCAAGGCAGCCAAACACUCAGGCUGUAACUUGGGUACUAUUGGGGAUUUUAGCCAGCUCUAACUUGAGAAUCAAGAGCUAAAAGCACAGCUGAAUGAUUUUAAAAGUUUUGAGUUGGGCCAGAAAGGAAGCUCCUAUAAAGAUGGAGCCUGCAAAGAUGAAGUAGAUAAAAGCUUGAUUGCUAAAAAGAUUAGCAUUAAAAGAACCCAUGAAGGGGAAGUGAGAGGGGUAGGGGAAAGGAAAGAAGGGAAUGGAAUAAAUAUUUGAAAAGGAAAAAAUGGAAACAAAGUCUUUGUAAAUAGGGAGGGGUAGAGGGGGUUGAAGGGAGGGCAGAGGAAUGGGGAAAAAAAUGAGAACCAAGAUACAUCAUGUAAAGGUACAAAUAAUCCCAAUAAUGAAUGUCAGCAUAUUGUAUACCUAAAAUGUACCAAUAAAAUGAAUGAAUAAUAAAAAAGAAAGAACCCAUGAACUUGGGAUCUGGACAAUACAACGAUGCCUUGAAGGCAUGGGAAGAAUCUCAAAAAAAUCCACCCUUUGCAGGCUCAAAACUGCAAAGGUUAAAGAUAGUGCUUUGAAAAGAAAGCCCCAAAGCACUCUGUCGGAGAAGGACCACCUAGGCAAUUGAUUCCCCAUGAUUCAGUUUACUGCGCACAGCCAGCCAGCCAGGAACUUGGGAGGCCUCUGCAACCACCAGCAAGAUGCAAAAGGGCUCAUCUAUGACUCCAGAUGGCAGCAGACCUUGGCAUCAUCCACAUUCAGAAUGCAAGAGUUGUGGUGACAGGGAGGCUUCCACCCAGAUAUCAGAAGAAGGCCAGGGAGUCCAGGCAAUAAGCCCCUGAGAGGUCAGUGUG